UCCUGAACGCCCCCUUCCCCCUGUCUUUUCGGCGGGGCUUUGGGAGUUUGCAGGGUGUUCUGAGUGUUUGGGCCUCAGGGAUUCUCACCUCCGGGAGAUUCCAGGAGCUGUAGGGGGUGGAAUGCGAGUAGGAGGAGAGGUGCAGAUGGAUAUCGUGGCCUGCUGAUGGUUUUGGAGCCCAGGUCCAGACAUUUCUUGAUUGAAGUAGACAUUCAAGAAGUGUGAAAUGCACAGUCAGAAAAUCUGGGACUUCUCUUUUUCCUUGUCAGAAUCAGGAUUGAAAAAUGAUUCAGCGGGGAAUAGCUUCUUUACAGUGAGAGCCCGUGUUAUUGAUUUUUGUGUCUGUAUACAACCUAAAAGAAUGGAGGCGUGUGUCCCUCUCUUUCGGAAAUAAUGAUAUCAUCCAUGUGUAAUUAAUUAUGUGGGGCCCAUGUUGGAAGACUGUGUAGCCAGCUCUUGGCUGUCGAAGCACUGACUACAUGGAUUUAACCUGCCAUUGACAGUGGCGCCAUUUUUCUGGUCCUCCAGAGGAACAUAAACCUGUCCAUUUUACUCAUCUUGAAGGAGUUUUGGCAAAACAUGUAUUAGGGCAGAAAAUGAAACCUCACUAGAGCUCCCUUUGCACUGGAAGGCUGGAGGAAUUUCGUGGACUUGGAGGCUCUGCCCUGUGCUCCACGGCCACAAGCCCUUAAGUGUUGUCUCCACAGCAUUUGCAUUUGCUGUCCUCAAAGCCCCGCUCCUCCCUCUCCCGUCGCUGUCCUCAAAGCCCCGCUCCUCCCUCUCCCGUCGCUGUCCUCAAAGACCCACUCCUCCCUCUCCCAUACACGAUUUUGAGCUAUAUCCUUAAUAUCCAGGUUCCUUUGUGUUUCCUGGUAAUGGGUAGAAGUGCAAGGGGAUUUCAGCUCCCAAGAGACAGGGUUUCCCCGUGCCUAAGACCCCAGGGUUGAUGCUACUCUGUCAUCAAGUGGUGACUGUGACUCUUCCCCCCGCAACCUCAGGAGGUUUUUUUGGACUUCAUCCCAGAUCCUGAGCUGGAGCUGGUCCUGGGAUGCAGAGCGUGCCUGUCCUAGUGAACUGAAGUGUCUCCAAAAGGGUUCCUGAAAACAGAACAAAGUUGCCCAGCCAGGCACGCAGGCCAGGGCAGGAAACUGGCCUUGGGGCCACCUCCGCUCAGGAUGGGGUGGAGGCAAACAGACUUGUGCGUCAUCCUUCACAAAGAAGGUUCUCUCAGAUAUUUGGAUUUCCUUGAGGAGCCCUCAAAGCAAUAAAAUAAUAUGUCCUUCAGACUGAGAACACUGACCGUGUCUGCAAGGCAGAGUGGGGCGCCGCAUGAGGUCUGCAUCUCAGAGGCUCCAGGCAGGAGUCUGGCUCUACUUGUUUUUCAGAGUAUUCUCUGGGAGGCACACACCUUUCCCAUUUUCUGGUGUGCCCAGCAAUAGGACGUCGUGUUAUCUUUCCUGAGGGUCGGACAGACGUUCGCUUGUGAGGGUAGGAUCCUGCUCCCUUCAUAGUAAGCAGAAAAUCCAGUCAUAUUGCACUAUGGGGGCCCAAUCUUUUUCUACUUUGGUGAAAUGUCCUGAAUCUCACCUCUGAGAAUACCUUUCUUGCUGUGUCCUGGCAUAGCUUCCUGAAACUGUCGGAAGAGGUCUUUUAUUCCUUAUUGAUAAUCUGGAAAUAGGGCUCUUUUGAAAACCUUUUUUUGUUUUUCCAAAGGAAAAAAAAAACCCAAAGAAGAUAAAACACUGAAUUAAAAAGAAAUAGACUCUUUGUGGCCGUCUAUAUUUUCCAAGGUUUCAUGUUUUUAACAAUGAAUAUGUAUUAUUUUGCAAUCGGAUACAAGCUGGGCUUUGUUUGUAAUUGACAACAGAGGGCUAUCAGCCCAGCUACCACUGGAAGCAGAGUGGUAUUUCAGAGUUUGUUCUCUCUCCCCACCACCUUUGGGGCGUCUGCUUCAUGUAAUUCCCACCCAGAAGCUCCCCUAAUGAGGGGUGCUCAUUCAAGGUCUCCCACAAGGAACAAAGCAUUUUCACAUUUUCCAAAGUCCGUUUCAUUGUUGAAAUAUUGUAAUAGAAAGCAGGAUAUAUUUGCACUGUAAUUUUAGAGCAAUUUUGGAAGUAGAAACAUUUUGUGGGUCUCAUCUCAUAGACCUAUGUCCAUCCAGGAACUUCCUAUCUUUCUUUUAAAAGAAAAGAUGUCAGGUUUGUCAAAGAUCAGAUGGUUAUAGAUGUGUGGUGUUAUUUCUGAGGCCUCUGUUCUGUUCCAUUGGUCUAUAUGUCUGUUUUGAUACCAGUACCAUGCUCUUUUGGUUACUGUAGCCUUGUAGUAUAGUUUGAUGUAGUAUAGUCAGGUAGC
rnacentral:lncRNA from 1 species